CAUAAUUGCAGCGGCUCAAUAAGAUUAGCUCGACCAGUUUUUCCACCUAAUGCCACGUUAAGUUCAUCAGGAGUGACUUGUAUACCCUGGUUCGAUAUAUAGGCGUCUCCAGUGACAUUGAUGGAACGAUUACGUCAGAAGGAUUGAUGCUGGAGAGCUUAAAGUUCAAUGAAUAGAAAGAAGGGAUAACAAAAAAUACUAAGAAUAGCAAGAUGUUCAAAAUUUGGCUGAAAACCAUG
rnacentral:lncRNA from 1 species